rnacentral:rRNA from 1 species
GAUGAACGCUGGCGGCGUGCCUAAUACAUGCAAGUCGAACGAAACUUCUUUAUCACCGUGGGCUUGCACUCACCGAUAAGGGGUUGAGUGGCGAACGUAUGAGUAACACGUCUGCAACCUGCCCAAAAGAGGGGGAUAACAAUUGGGAACAGGUGCUACUACCGCAUAACCAUAGUUGCCGCAUUGUAGCGGUGUAGAAGGUGACUAUGCUACCUCUGUUGGAUGGGCCCGCGGCGCAUUAGCUAGUUGUUAGGGUAAAGGCUUACUAAGAGAAUGAUGCGCAUCCGAAUUCAGAGGUUGAUAGGCCACAUUGGGACGUAGACGCGGCCCAAACUACUACGAUAGGCCGCAGUCGGGAAUGUUCCACAGUGGGCGAAAGCAUGAUGGAGCAACGCCGAGUGUGUGAAGGAGGUCUUCGGAUCGUAAAAACCUGUUGUGAGUGAAGAACGUCCGUCAGAGUAACUGUUCACGUUUCGACGGUAUCUAAUAAGAAAGCACCGGCUAACUACGUG